UUUCCUGGAUGGAGAGUUGGACUCUCUCUGAUGUGCUCAGAUUGAUAUUCUAGGAUUCCCGUUAUUCAUCCCCUAUUGAUGCCCGCCUCACUACACAUUGCAAUUCUGGCUCUCUUGGUACAUAUUCGAUGGUGGGAACUGUCGUUCCAGAUUUAAUUAGUUGCCACACUCCUCUCGCGCGGAUGUGUUGGGAUGGAUGCCGCCGCCGUCCAACUCAGCCCUUGAUGGUACUCCAUGAACUGUGCCGCAAAGUCCUUCCAGAGUUUGCCCAGAGCUCUCGACCAGGCGCUGCCGCUUCAGUGCACGAAUAUGCUUUUUAGGCCGUUGUAUGGUCCUUCAGAUUUUCCUCAUCUCCAUGUUUCAAAUAUUUGGCCCUACAGUGAAUAGUACAUGGGAUGUUCAACGUGGUUAAAUAAUAGAUAUGCAAUUUCAUGUUAUAUCUUUGGCAUCACUGUAUCUGCAAAUGUUUAUAAUAAAUAGAAACUGAGUUGGAUUUUAUUCAUUUGCUUCAUUGCUAAUUUUUACCAUGGUGGAUUUGAAUGUUUCUGAACAGUCUGUUUCUUACAUCAAAUAUACACAAAUGGUGAAUAAUAUUUUCUUCAAAAGUCUAUUUGUUCCGUUCUGAGCACUAACUUUCGGAUGAGCAACCUUCCUUCUAUGGCAGUCAGUCAAAACCAAGGCUUCUAUUUAUAAGAGUAUGAUUAGGUAAUGACGCAUGGGGAGACCCUGUAGUUGAGAUUUUUUAUUUAAACUUUGACAUGCCAAUGGUAUAAAAGAGGAUGCCCAACAACCCUGGAGCUUUUGAGUUGAAACAAGGAGUUACCAUAGUUCAGUAUGUCCAUUAAAUACACGCAUCAGGAUUUUAGAAUACUUGUUAUUCACUAAUUCUAGCGUUCUCUUAUCAGGAAAGCUCUUCUGGAUGUUCCAAGGAACUUACUAAAGACACCAGGGAAGAUAAUAUUUGAGCCGAGGAUGUGAGAUGUUAUUUAUGGAUGAGUUACCGGAAUGCCAUUCUGCGAUAUGAUCAUGAAUAAGGGUGCUAGCAUCCGAAGAAGUGAACAGUUAGCUGGAUCCGAAGAAGAGGUACAUCACGCCGUAUGGUGCUCCGCCUAUCGCAGCUCUUAUCUAGACAGAGUAUAUAUUCUCAAAUAAAAUUGCGUUUUGGUUCACCACUCCUGAAGUGCCCGCGGAUGAAAUCAGUCUCAUAUUGAUAAUAGUGAAUAGCUGCCUCCCUCACAUGGUUGCUACACUUUCAACUUGAUUGCAUCUUUUGUUUACAUUCCUUCUUGGACUACCUUUGAUGUGAGAUUUAUUGAGCAGAUAAAAAUUUGCUGAAGUAAAUAUAUGGAGAUAUAUUUUAUUUUGAUCUCUAUUUUCAAUUUAGAAUUCAAAUGCAAAUUCAUGGAAACUUUCGUAUGCUUCGAGAGAGUGGUAUGAAAAUAAAUUCACACCUUAUGCAGUGGUUUCCUUGAGACCAAAGUUAUUGAUAGGGCCCUGAGAAUAUGGGGACCUACUACGAGUUACGUGAUACCACAUGUAGAGAGUGAUGAUGAUUUUUAAGAGCUUUCAUUUGGAUAAUCUACAGGACAAGGAGAGUACAAUGGGGUUGUGAUCUACACCAUGUAUGAAAAAGUAUGGUAAGCAGUCAAGCAUGGAUGUGGAUACUACGUUAGCAGGACACCAAAGAAUUAUAGAGAACAUGCGAAGAUGUGGUGCAAUAUGUUCCAUCAUACUGUCUUUCAACAAUUGGCAUGCUCGUUUUUUCCAAUACAUUGAAAGUGUAGAUGUCAUAUGAAAGGGAAGCAA